AAGAUCCUACUUAACUUCCGAUGU
rnacentral:siRNA from 1 species